GAAGAAAGUAAGAAAGGGCGCAUGGCGGAUGCCUUGGCUCACGGAGGCGAUGAAGGACGUGAUAAGCUGCGAUAAGCCUUGGGUAGGUGCAAAUAACCUUUGAUCCAGGGAUUUCCGAAUGGGACAACCCGGCAGGCUGGAGGCCUGUCAUCACUACGGAUGUAGUGAGGCGAACGGAGGGAACUGAAACAUCUUAGUACCUCCAGGAAGAGAAAAUAAACUAAUGAUUCCCCCAGUAGCGGCGAGCGAACGGGGAAGAGCCCAAACCGGCGGCGUAGCGAUGCGCCUCCGGGGUUGUAGGACCACGCAGUCGUACUUGGAUUGUGAGAAGAAUGUUCUGGAAAGAACAAUCAUAGAGGGUGAUGAUCCCGUAUUCGAAGCAUGACGAGACGUAGUGGUAUCCUGAGUAACGCGGAACACGUGAAAUUCUGCGCGAAUCCGCCGGGACCAUCCGGCAAGGCUAAAUACUCCCGUGAGACCGAUAGUGUACGAGUACCGUGAGGGAAAGGUGAAAAGCACUCCGACGAGGAGAGUGAAACAGUUCCUGAAACCAUGCGCCUACAAGCGGUCGGAGCCGCGCGAGCGGUGACGGCGUGCCUUUUGCAUAAUGAACCUACGAGUUGCCAUGUCCGGCAAGGAUAAGCGUCAUGAGCCGCGUAUCCGCAGUGAAAGCGAGCCUGAACAGGGCGUCGAGUCAGACGGGGCAGACGCGAAACCAAGUGAUCUACACUUGCCCAGGCUGAAGUCCGGGUAACACCGGAUGGAGGGCCGCACGGAUAAGCGUUGAAAAGCUUCCCGAUGAGGCGAGUGUAGGAGUGAAAGGCCAAUCAAACUUGGAGAUAGCUCGUACUCCCCGAAAGGCAUUUAGGUGCCGCGUGCGGCGUUAUCCGCGAGAGGUAGAGCGACCGGUAGGUCGAGAGGGCUUCGCCGCCUGUCGAGACCUGACGAACUCCGAAUGCUCUCGGAUCGCAGCCGUGCAGUAAGGGGGCGGGUGCUAAGGUCCGUCCCCGAGAGGAGAAGAAUCCAGACCGCCGUCUAAGGUCCCGGAAUUCUGCCUGAGUUAGUCUAACGAAGUCCGGUCCCCGUGACAGCUAGGAUGUUGGCUUGGAAGCAGCCAUUCAUUCAAAGAGUGCGUAACAGCUCACUAGUCGAGGGUCCGGGCGUGGAUAAUAAUCGGGUAUAAGGCAGAUACCGAAGGCGCGGGAUAGCAAUGUAUAUUGAAAGUAUCGGUAGGGGAGCAUUCCAUCGGCGUCGAAUGGUGAGGGUGACCGAUCCUGGAGCUUAUGGAAAAGCAAAUGUAGGUAUGAGUAACGAUAAAAAGGGUGGGAUUCCCUUUCGCCGAAAGACCGAGGUUUCCCGGGCGAUGCCAGUCAGCCCGGGGUCAGUCGGGUCCUAAGUCUCAGCCGAACGGCGAAGGCGAUGGCAGAUGCGGUCAACAUUCCGCAACUCGCAUUAUCAGUGACGUGGAGACGGAGCAGUGACACUGCCGCGCCCUGACGGAAUAGGGCGUUUAAGUGCGUAGGUUAUGAUAGUGGCAGGCAAAUCCACUACUUGAGCUGAAACACGAAAGUACAGCACUUCCUUCGGGAAGAGUUGAGUGCAGGUAAUCAUACUUCCGAGAAAAUCCGCUAAACUUAAUGAUAUUGCGACCCGUACCGCAAACGGACACACGUGGUCGGGUAGAAUAUACUAAGGCGUUGAGAGAUUCAUGGUUAAGGAACUAGGCAAAUUGACCCCGUAACUUCGGGAUAAGGGGUCCUCAUAGUAAUAUGAGGCGCAGAGAAUAGGUCCAGGCAACUGUUUAACAAAAACACAGGGCUGUGCAAACUCGAAAGAUGAGGUAUACAGCCUGACACCUGCCCGGUGCUGGAAGGUUAAGAGGAGAUGUCACUAGCAAUAGGAAGCAUUGAAUUGAAGCCCCAGUAAACGGCGGCCGUAACUAUAACGGUCCUAAGGUAGCGAAAUUCCUUGUCGGGUAAGUUCCGACCUGCACGAAUGGUGUAAUGAUCCGGACGCUGUCUCAACCAUGAUCUCAGUGAAAUUGUAGUAUCGGUGAAGAUGCCGAUUACCCGCGAUGGGACGAAAAGACCCCGUGAACCUUUACUACAGCUUAGCAUUGACCUUGGUCAUCCGAUGUGUAGGAUAGGCCGGAGGCUUCGAAGCGUGUGCGCCAGCAUUCGUGGAGCCAUCCUUGAAAUACGGCCCUUUGGCUGUCUGAGGUCUAACGCGCCUAUGGUGCGGACACUGCUUGGUGGGUAGUUUGACUGGGGUGGUCGCCUCCAAAAGCGUAACGGAGGCUUCCAAAGGUGCCCUCGGGCCGAUCGGUAACCGGCCUUAUAGAGUGCAAUGGCAUAAGGGCGCUUGACUGGGAGGCAGACAUGCCGAGCAGGCAGGAAACUGGGGCAUAGUGAUCCGGCGGAUGUGUAUGGAAACUCCGUCGCUCAAAGGAUAAAAGGUACUCCGGGGAUAACAGGCUGAUCCCCCCCAAGAGCUCAUAUCGACGGGGUGGUUUGGCACCUCGAUGUCGGCUCGUCACAUCCUGGGGCUGGAGAAGGUCCCAAGGGUUGGGCUGUUCGCCCAUUAAAGUGGCACGCGAGCUGGGUUCAGAACGUCGUGAGACAGUUCGGUCUCUAUCUAUCGUGGGCGCUGGAGUUUUGCGCGGUGCCGUCACUAGUACGAGAGGACCGUGACGGACAGACCUCCGGUCAGCCGGUUGUGCCGUCAGGUGCACCGCCGGGUAUCUGAGUCUGGAACGGAUAAGCGCUGAAAGCAUCUAAGCGCGAAGCCGUCCGCAAGAUGAGAACUCCUCACGAGGGCCGUCACAGACGAUGACGUGGAUAGGGCGCAGGUGUAAAGACGGCGACGUCAAAGCCGAGCGCUACUAAUUGCCCGAAGCUUUCUCCCG
rnacentral:rRNA from 1 species